rnacentral:rRNA from 1 species
GAUGAACGCUAGCGACAGGCCUAACACAUGCAAGUCGAGGGGCAGCAUAAAGGUAGCAAUACUUUGGUGGCGACCGGCGCACGGGUGAGUAACGCGUAUGCAACCUACCCUGUACAGGGGGAUAACCCGGAGAAAUUCGGACUAAUACCCCAUAAAGAUAUUUAGAGGCAUCUUUGAAUAUUUAAAGUUCCGGCGGUACGGGAUGGGCAUGCGUAACAUUAGCUAGUUGGUAAGGUAACGGCUUACCAAGGCAACGAUGUUUAGGGGUCCUGAGAGGGUGAUCCCCCACACUGGUACUGAGACACGGACCAGACUCCUACGGGAGGCAGCAGUGAGGAAUAUUGGUCAAUGGGCGCAAGCCUGAACCAGCCAUCCCGCGUGAAGGAAGAAUGCGCUAUGCGUUGUAAACUUCUUUUCCAGGGGAAUAAAAUUUUGUACGCGUACGGAAUUGAAGGUACCCUGGGAAUAAGCAUCGGCUAACUCCGUGCCAGCCGCCGCAGUAAAAC